UAUGUGAUCGUCUCUCGCAUAUCAAUAAGCGGAGGAAAAGAAACUAACAAGGAUUCCCCUAGUAACGGCGAGUGAAGCGGGAAGAGCUCAAAUUUGAAAUCUUAAAGGGUUUCCCUUUACGAAUUGUAGUUUAAAGAAGUGUUUUCUGUUGAGGUUUUGGUAAAAGUUCUUUGGAAUAGGACAUCAUAGAGGGUGAGGAUCCCGUAUUUGACCUUUACCCUCAACUUUGUGAUACACUUUCAAAGAGUCGGAUUGUUUGGGAAUGCAGUCCAAAAUGGGUGGUAAAUCUCAUCUAAAGCUAAAUAUUGGCGAGAGACCGAUAGCGAACAAGUACCGUGAGGGAAAGAUGAAAAGAACUUUGAAAAGAGAGUUAAACAGUACGUGAAAUUGUCAAAAGGGAAGCGUUUGACACCAGUGUUGUUUUUCUGAAAAUCAAUUAAAGAACUGUUUAUGCUAAGCUGUUUAGACUUUAUCAGCUAUCUGUUUAGUUUUGAGCUUUUCUUUAAUGCACUUUUCAGUUAACAAGUCAACAUCAAUUUCUUUUGCUGUAAAAAAGCUUGAGGAAGGUGGCUUGAGAUUCGUCUUAAGUGUUUAUAGCCUCUUGCCUAUGCAGUCGGAGAGAUUGAGGUCUGCAGCGUAGAUCCUUCGGGGCUAAAUGCAUUUGUGCUAAGUUAUAGCAUUUUAUAGACAACUUGUUGACUAUGAUUUGUCUUGUAGCUUACUCGCUUAUGUUAUUUUACCUACGCUUAGGAUGUUGAUAUGCAUGACUGAUAU
rnacentral:rRNA from 1 species